GCUGUGUAAAGGGUAUAGGGUAGUGGUGUCUGUGUGAGAGAGGGCUGUGUUAAGGGUAAAGGGCAGUGGUGUCUGUGAGAGAGAGGGCUGUGUUAAGGGUAUAGGGUAGUGGUGUCUGUGUGAGAGAGGGCUGUGUUAAUGGUAUAGGGUAGUGGUGUCUGUGUGAGAGAGGGCUGUGUUAAGGGUAAAGGGCAGUGGUGUCUGUGAGAGAGAGGGCUGUGUUAAGGGUAUAGGGUAGUGGUGUCUGUGUGAGAGAGGGCUGUGUUAAGGGUAAAGGGCAGUGGUGUCUGUGAGAGAGAGGGCUGUGUUAAUGGUAUAGGGUAGUGGUGUCUAUCAGAGAGAGGGCUGUGUUAAGGGUAAAGGGUAGUGGUGUCUGUGAGAGAGAGGGCUGUGUUAAGGGUAAAGGGUAGUGGUGUCUGUGAGAGAGAGUGCUGUGUUAAGGUAAAGGGUAGUGGUGUCUAUCAGAGAGGGCUGUGUUAAGGGUAAAGGGCAGUGGUGUCUGUGAGAGGGCUGUGUUAAUGGUAUAGGGUAGUGGUGUCUAUCAGAGAGAGGGCUGUGUUAAGGGUAAAGGGUAGUGGUGUCUGUGAGAGAGAGUGCUG
rnacentral:lncRNA from 1 species